CUCUAGAUCUGGAAGUUCUAACCUCCUGUUGAAUUCUACAGUGUGCAAUGAACAACCCCUCAUUAUGACUCAGUGGGCAAUGAAGCCUGAACCUUCAUCAUUACAGCACAAACUAACUCUUGACCUACAGGACCAACUACAAUAACUGAUAGCAGUUGUUCAAGACAUCCUGCGCCAAGACCUAGAACUACAGUCCCAGAGAUUUACCAGAGUAUGCUGCUGAAGUAUUUGCCACUACCCUAACUUUUUCUUGAUGUUCAAAUGCUGACGGAUCCAAACAGCACACUGUGCUCUCUCAAAAGAGUCAAGCCUCACAGUCCAAUGGUAACUGUUACUUGUUACAGAGCUGCUACAUUGUAUUCCUUCAGUCUCUUUUGUAUACUCUAACAAUGCACCAGUCUGACUGCAGGAUGGUUUCCGGGAGCAGAUUCCAAUUGGAGACAGGGGUCAUCACAUGAGUAUUGCUUCUUGUUGCCCACUCA